rnacentral:rRNA from 1 species
GUGGGGAAUAUUGGACAAUGGGCGCAGGCCUGAUCCAGCCAUGCCGCGUGUGUGAAGAAGGCCUUCGGGUUGUAAAGCACUUUUGUCCGGGAAGAAAUCUUCCAGGUUAAUACCCUGGGAGGCUGACGGUACCGGAAGAAUAAGCACCGGCUAACUUCGUGCCAGCAGCCGCGGUAAUACGAAGGGUGCAAGCGUUACUCGGAAUUACUGGGCGUAAAGCGUGCGUAGGUGGUUCGUUAAGUCUGCCGUGAAAGCCCCGGGCUCAACCUGGGAAUGGCGGUGGAUACUGGCGGGCUAGAGUGCGGUAGAGGGUGGUGGAAUUCCCGGUGUAGCAGUGAAAUGCGUAGAGAUCGGGAGGAACAUCUGUGGCGAAGGCGGCCACCUGGACCAGCACUGACACUGAGGCACGAAAGCGUGGGGAGCAAACAGGAUUAGAAACCCGAGUAGUCC